UGGGGAGCAAACAGGAUUAGAUACCCUGGUAGUCCACGCCGUAAACGAUGUCUACUUGGAGGUUGUGCCCUUGAGGCGUGGCUUCCGGAGCUAACGCGUUAAGUAGACCGCCUGGGGAGUACGGCCGCAAGGUUAAAACUCAAAUGAAUUGACGGGGGCCCGCACAAGCGGUGGAGCAUGUGGUUUAAUUCGAUGCAACGCGAAGAACCUUACCUGGUCUUGACAUCCACAGAAUUCUGCAGAGAUGCGGAAGUGCCUUCGGGAACUGUGAGACAGGUGCUGCAUGGCUGUCGUCAGCUCGUGUUGUGAAAUGUUGGGUUAAGUCCCGCAACGAGCGCAACCCUUAUCCUUUGUUGCCAGCGGUYMGGCCGGGAACUCAAAGGAGACUGCCAGUGAUAAACUGGAGGAAGGUGGGGAUGACGUCAAGUCAUCAUGGCCCUUACGACCAGGGCUACACACGUGCUACAAUGGCGCAUACAAAGAGAAGCGACCUCGCGAGAGCAAGCGGACCUCAUAAAGUGCGUCGUAGUCCGGAUUGGAGUCUGCAACUCGACUCCAUGAAGUCGGAAUCGCUAGUAAUCGUGGAUCAGAAUGCCACGGUGAAUACGUUCCCGG
rnacentral:rRNA from 1 species